CAGGGAAUCUUCCACAAUGGACGCAAGUCUGAUGGAGCAACGCCGCGUGAGUGAAGAAGGUUUUCGGCUCGUAAAGCACUGUUGUUGGUGAAGAAGGAUAGAGGCAGUAACUGGUCUUUAUUUGACGGUAAUCAACCAGAAAGUCACGGCUAACUACGUGCCAGCAGCCGCGGUAAUACGUAGGUGGCAAGCGUUGUCCGGAUUUAUUGGGCGUAAAGCGAGCGCAGGCGGAAUGAUAAGUCUGAUGUGAAAGCCGACGGCUCAACCGUGGAACUGCAGCGGAAACUGUCAUUCUGGAGUGCAGAAGAGGAGAGUAGAAUUCCAGGUGUAGCGGUGGAAGGCGUAGAUAUAUGGAAGACCACCGGUGGCGAAGGCGGCUCUCUGGUCUGCAACUGACGAUGAGGGUCGGAAGGAUGGGUAGCGAACAGG
rnacentral:rRNA from 1 species